AGGACGAACGCUGGCGGCGUGCUUAACACAUGCAAGUCGAGCGGAAAGGCCCUUCGGGGUACUCGAGCGGCGAACGGGUGAGUAACACGUGAGCAACCUGCCCCUGGCUCUGGGAUAGCUCCGGGAAACCGGGAUUAAUACCGGAUAUGACCCCCUUCUGCAUGGUGGGGGGUGAAAGUUUUUCGGCUGGGGAUGGGCUCGCGGCCUAUCAGCUUGUUGGUGGGUGAUGGCCUACCAAGGCGACGACGGGUA
rnacentral:rRNA from 1 species